rnacentral:lncRNA from 1 species
CGCUUUCGCCAUGUGAAGACACAGCAAGAAGAUGGCUAUUUAUGAGGAAGUGGACCUUCACCAGCCUCCAAAUCUGCUGGUGUCUUGAUGUUGGACCUCCAGCCUCCAGGACUGAUAUAAUUGGAAAAAAAUUGGUUAUGUAACCAAGAUCUUCCUUGAAAUGUUCUGAGAGUGAUGCUCAUUUAUUCAGGUGUGACCAGCCCAUUAUAAGGAAUGAAGGUUGGCCUUAUCAAACCAAUGCUGGCAAAGCCCUGAGGAAAACUGGCCUGGUACCUGGUUCCCAGGGUCCCAACCUUACAGGAUUCUUGCUGAAGGCUGGAGGCUGGAAUCAUCUAGAAGCUUCUUCACUCACAUGUCUGCCUCAUGGGCUGUGAUAGCUGAAGGAUAGGAUUUGCUGACCAGAGCACCUUCAUGUGGCCUCUCCAUGUGGCUUGGACUUCUCAUAGCCUGGCAACUGGAUUCCAAGAAGGAGCACUUGGAAGACAGCGUUCCUCUGGGCAAGGUUUUUGCCAGAGGAGAAAGCAGAGUUGGAGUCACUGUUGAGAGAAUGACCCCAGAUGGGUGUCUGCAGAGAGAGAGGCUGGAAAUGCCUCAGGGGUGGACUGGCCCAGCUCAGACAGAACCUGUCUCCUGGGCUGUGGUUUUAGGGUCAGCUGUCAGAUUUCCUGCCCAGGGCCGGUAGAACUCAGAUGCAUUUGGGCCCAUCAGAAACAACUCGACACAGCAGGGCCCUCACUCCCUUGUGGAGAUAUUAACCUCCAGGUGAUGUUUCUGCCCCAGAAGGUGACUCAAAGAUGUGCUUUGGGCCCCACAAACACAGGC